rnacentral:rRNA from 1 species
GAUGAACGUUGGCGGCGUGCCUAAUACAUGCAAGUCGAGCGAAUGGAUUAAGAGCUUGCUCUUAUGAAGUUAGCGGCGGACGGGUGAGUAACACGUGGGUAACCUGCCCAUAAGACUGGGAUAACUCCGGGAAACCAGGGCUAAUACCGGAUAACAUUUUGAACCGCAUGGUUCGAAAUUGAAAGGCGGCUUCGGCUGUCACUUAUGGAUGGACCCGCGUCGCAUUAGCUAGUUGGUGAGGUAACGGCUCACCAAGGCAACGAUGCGUAGCCGACCUGAGAGGGUGAUCGGCCACACUGGGACUGAGACACGGCCCAGACUCCUACGGGAGGCAGCAGUAGGGAAUCUUCCGCAAUGGACGAAAGUCUGACGGAGCAACGCCGCGUGAGUGAUGAAGGCUUUCGGGUCGUAAAACUCUGUUGUUAGGGAAGAACAAGUGCUAGUUGAAUAAGCUGGCACCUUGACGGUACCUAACCAGAAAGCCACGUCUAACUACGUGCCAGCCGCCGCAGUAA